rnacentral:rRNA from 1 species
ACGCACGCUGGCGGCGUGCUUAACACAUGCAAGUCGAACGCUGAAGCUUGGUGCUUGCACUGGGUGGAUGAGUGGCGAACGGGUGAGUAAUACGUGAGUAACCUGCCCUUGACUCUGGGAUAAGCCUGGGAAACUGGGUCUAAUACUGGAUACGACAUGUCACCGCAUGGUGGUGUGUGGAAAGGGUUUUACUGGUUUUGGAUGGGCUCACGGCCUAUCAGCUUGUUGGUGGGGUAAUGGCUCACCAAGGCGACGACGGGUAGCCGGCCUGAGAGGGUGACCGGCCACACUGGGACUGAGACACGGCCCAGACUCCUACGGGAGGCAGCAGUGGGGAAUAUUGCACAAUGGGCGGAAGCCUGAUGCAGCGACGCCGCGUGAGGGAUGGCGGCCUUCGGGUUGUAAACCUCUUUCAGCACGGAAGAAGCGAAAGUGACGGUACGUGCAGAAGAAGCGCCGGCUAACUACGUG